GACAGAGGGUGCAAACGUUGCUCGGAAUCACUGGGCGUAAAGGGCGUGUAGGCGGGAAGGAAAGUCAGAUGUGAAAUCCCUGGGCUCAACCCAGGAACUGCAUUUGAAACUCCCUUUCUUGAGUGUCGGAGAGGAAAGCGGAAUUCCUGGUGUAGAGGUGAAAUUCGUAGAUAUCAGGAGGAACGCCGGUGGCGAAGGCGGCUUUCUGGACGACAACUGACGCUGGAGACGCGAAAGCGUGGGGAGCAAACAGG
rnacentral:rRNA from 1 species